AACGUAGGUGGCGAGCGUUAUCCGGAUUUACUGGGCGUAAAGCGUGUGCAGGCGGGUGGUCAAGUGGUGUAUGAAAGCACCGCGCUCAACGCAGUGACCGUAGGCCAGACUGACUAUCUGGAGGGCGAGAGAGGGGCGUGGAAUUCCGGGUGUAGUGGUGAAAUGCGUAGAGAUCCGGAGGAACCCCAGAGGCGAAGGCGGCGCCCUGGCUCGCACCUGACGCUCAGACACGACAGCAUGGGGAGCGAACGGG
rnacentral:rRNA from 1 species